GCGGUGGUAGUUCAGCGGUAGAAUGUCUCCUUGCCAAGGAGAAGGUCAGGGGUUCAAAUCCCCUCCACCGCU
rnacentral:tRNA from 1 species